rnacentral:rRNA from 1 species
GAACGCUGGCGGCGUGCCUAAUACAUGCAAGUCGAACGGUCUUUCUAUGGAAGCUUGCUUCCACUGAGAAGAUAGUGGCGAACGGGUGAGUAACACGUGGGUAACCUGCCCAUAAGAGGGGGAUAACAUCCGGAAACGGGUGCUAAUACCGCAUAGUUUUCUUGAUCGCAUGAUUGAGAAAGGAAAGACGGCCUUUGUGCUGUCGCUUAUGGAUGGACCCGCGGCGUAUUAGUUAGUUGGUGAGGUAAUGGCUCACCAAGACGAUGAUACGUAGCCGACCUGAGAGGGUGAUCGGCCACAUUGGGACUGAGACACGGCCCAAACUCCUACGGGAGGCAGCAGUAGGGAAUCUUCCGCAAUGGACGAAAGUCUGACGGAGCAACGCCGCGUGAGUGAAGAAAGGUUUUCGGAUCGUAAAACUCUGUUGUCAGAGAAGGACAAGUUGGAGAGUAACUGCUCCAGCCUUGACGGUAUCUGACCAGAAAGCCACGGCUAACUACGUGCCAGCCGCGGC